rnacentral:lncRNA from 1 species
CAACAGAAAUUAACAAAAAACUUUAAGAAAGACUUUAAGAUCAGUUAAGAAGGAAAUGAAAUGGAAAACAGUUUAACAACUUAUAUAUCUUUCUUGGUACGUCUUUCUAUUUUGUUAUUACUUUAUGACCAAACCGAAUGACAUUUUAAAUAUGCAUCUCUAAUAUGAUUCUUUAUGAUAAAUGAUUGAAAGUAACAAAGAUCUAUGAUUUUCUCCACUUGUUAUACACUAUGUAACAGGGGAUGCAGAUAUACAGUGCCUGUAAUUAAACGGUGAUGUAAAACCUCUUAAGGAACAGGAAGGGUAUGGUUUAGAUUUUAUUUUUAUAUUUAUUAGCUAAAGAAUUUUCAGUUGCCAAAUAAAGUAGAGGGAAAAAAAAAAAAAGAGGAAAAAGCAAACACAUCUAUUUGUUACUGACAGGUUCUAGUUAAUCCAUUGCCCCCAAAGCAGAUAAUUAAAGGAUUUUAGAUGUGUUGCUGGUGAAUUCAAUUUGACACAUUAGAGUUUAUAAUCCCUGUGACCUCAAUUAUUGAGUAUGAAUGAUGGCAAACACUACUAAUCCAAAUGACUGGUGUCUUCAUUUCUUUAUAAAAUCCAAUACUUAGUUAACUAGCUGUGAAUGAAGGUUAUCUGAAUCACAAAACACCCCACCCUUCAUCUUUUGAAAGGAAAAAAAAAAUGUUCUGUCUGUGAAGGUCACUACUUUAACAGCAUGUAUUGCCUAUGUUCAGAGAGAUACAGAAAAGGAGAUGCAAUAUAUUUGUUGUUGUUGUUGUUGUUCUUAACCUUUAUCCACAAAAGAGCAACUGAAAAAAAUGUUUUGUUUAUAUACUAUUUUUUAAUAUAUUUUCUUCUUUAAAAACUUCAGUAAUCCUAUAUCAAAUGUAUCCCCAUUGCAGUGCAAGAAUCUUUGAUAGCUUUGAAGAAACACGCAAUGAAGCAGGAGCUGUUUGUCAAAACUGGGAGUCAGACUCUGAACAAGGAACAGUUCUACAUUUCAGUUAAAAGCAGACAGCUGUUCAUUCCAGUGAAAACAUUGAAUCAUUCCAGUGAAGACAGAUGUUUUCUUGACUUUUUGCAUCAUCCUUAGCUACCACUAUCAACAAAUGUAAACAGUUAUAGAGCAUUAUGAUAGAAAUUAAUGUGCACAUGAAUGUCACUGUAAGUAUUAAUCCAUUUUUUUAUCACAUUGCUUGAGCAUUGCUAUUACUAAGAAGUGGCAGUAGGGUUUUCUGUUGCACUGAGGUACUAAAUUCCCAGUAGUAGAAGAAACAACAACAGCUUGAAUGGAAUGCCAGUUAAUUGAAGGUCCCUUUAAAUUAAAGAGGAGUUUUUGAAUUGACUUCCAUGAUAAUGAGAUUUAAAUACCAUUUUGUCUUCAACUUAAUAAACAACUAAUACUAAUAACA